AACAAUCAACAGGGCUUUGAAGUGGAAAGGGAGUGGGUGGUGGGGGGGUGUGUGGCUUUAGGGUCUCUGGCUUAGGAAGCUGAGUCUCCGUAGUGCCAUUCAUACAGAUGGAAUGAGGGAAGAAGCAGUUUCAUGGGAAAGUAGUAAAUUUGAUUGAGUAACAAGAGCUUGGGGGAUCCAGAAGAGAGCUAGGUUUGCAGUUCAGGAGUCCAGGAGAGAGUCAGACUGAAAACAUAAGCCCAUGGAUAGUCAGUCAUUGAAGCCAUGGGAAUGAAGAUCACCUAUGGGAAACACAGAUAGAAGCGAAUGUUACCACAAUGAAGUGUGGUCUAUACAAUUAAUUGCUGCAAAGAGGUCAGAAUAGAGUGAUCUGUGAUAUCUUCCCACUAAUCCCAAGUCAGGAGAGAGAGAGAAUGAAGAUCCAUUGCUGUAGAGGAACAAACUGAACGUGUUGAAGGUCCCGCAAGGCCAAUGUGGCUGGAAUGCAGACACAAAGCCAGGAGGAACAAGAGAUGGGGCUGACAAGAGAGGCAGGAGUCAGAUCUCAUGGGAACUGUCACCUGCAGUGUUGCAGACCUCUUUGAAUACACCAUGAGCACUGUGGAUUCUCGCCUCUGGAGAAUAAAAAUCACAUACAGAAAAGUUCAGACAACUUUAAGGAGUUUGAAGAAUCCCUGCUAGUCGUGGACCCAUCUGGGGUUGGUGGAUUCCUCACCAUGACUCUUUGGAUUCAGAAGUCAUAUAAGAUGCAGUUUAACAAAUAUUGGAAGUCAAAUGAGCAUUCUGCGGAAAAACAGCUUCUUCCAUACAUCAUCUUCUGGAAUAUCCCAGAUCUGGAAGAGGUCACAGGAAUGUCCAUUCAUAGGGAGCUCUACCUGGAGCUCAGAGAUGAUUGAGAGAGGGUAUUCAUCAUGGAUGUGUCCAAGUGAAGGUAGUUUGGAAAGAAACAAAGUUACCCUUUUUUCUCACUAAACAUCUUAGGGUCCCCAUUAGCAGGAAGGAAGGAAGAGGACAGGUGAGCUCCCUGGUAUUGAUGUAUUUACAGAGAACCUAGGCAUCAGCCAUACAUACAGAGGACACUCAUUUGGCCAGAAUUUGGGCUUUGACUUUAAUUAAAUUCCCUUGCUCCCAAUAAGACCUCUCUUAAUCUGAAAACAAUUUGUCAUAAGUGAUGUACCUGCCAAGACCUCAUGGCAAAGAGGCAGGGGGUACCUAGUAAAUGUUGCUGACAAACUCCAGCAUGACUCUAAAGGGACAGUGGCUUCCUUUGGAUGGUCAUGUGCUGCUGCUGGACAUAGCAAUCAGAAGGACAGUGGUGAACACCCAGGAGUGAACCAAGAUGCAAAGUUCAAGUCCGAGGGAAGAAGGGUGCAGUGCGGAAGAAGGGAAGGCAGAUGCUGCAGCCCUGCCUACAAGCAAGGAGGGAGCCAUUAAGAGCCCCAAGCUGGCCAGGCGCAGUGGCUUGCGCCUGUAUUCCUAAUCCCGGCACUUUGGGAAGCCAAGGUGGACGGAUCACCUGAGGUCAGGAGUUUGAGACCAGCUUGACCAACAUGGAGAAACUCUGUCUCUACUAAAAAUACAAAAUUAGCCAGGAGGCUGAGGCAGAAGAAUUGCUAGAAUCCGGGAGGUAGAGGUUGCAGUGAGCCGAGAUCGUGCCAUUGCACUCUAGCCUGGGCAACAAGAGCGAAACUCCAUCUCAAAAAAACAAAAAAGCCCCAAGCCUACUUUAUCAGACAGAGGAAUCAAGUUGUAUUUCCUUCUCACCAAGAGACGCUGGAAAGCUGUAAUCUUACACCAGUGGAGAAAGUGAGAGGAAAAUAAACCCUUUCUAAGGAUGAAUCCUGAAAGCCUUUCACAGACAAUGCUGCUUCUAUAAGAAUGACCUGUGAUGGCUAAGCCAUCACAGUCUUCAUUCCAAUUGACAUUCUAGGUAAACCUGCGCACAACUUUUUCUGUGUAUUUUCCAAAAAAGGAUCAUUUUAUAAAGGCUCA
rnacentral:lncRNA from 1 species